UUUAUUUAAAAUGUGUCUGAAGAAAAUGCAGUGUUCUUUACAUUUCCUGGUGCUUUCUCUUAUUCAGUGACCAAAAACUAGGGGCAUAUUGAGACAAACACAAUUGUCCCCUUCUUCCUUCUAUGACUGCUAGUAACUUGUUAGUGAGGGAUGUUAAAACUAAUAGACUAUAAGGAUUUACCUUGUGUCUGUUCAUAAUAUGUACUCUGUGGGAUGACAAUACUAAAAUUAUUUUGCAAGCCAAUAUAUUUACUUAUAGUUACUGUGGAAAUUCUUGGAGUCCUUGUAUUGUGACAUAUUAUCACACAUCAACAUGCUAAUUGGGUAAAAUCUGGAAAGAAUAGACACUAUAUUCAGGGUCUUCAGGACCUUAGCAGAUCAUAGAACCUGACCUGUACAAUGUCCCUUCAAGACAAAAAGGACAAUUACCUAAUAUAUUGCUGUGGACUCAUAGUUCAGUCACCACACUAACAGUGGCAUGAUUCUCAUGCUGUGAAUGAACUCACAUUGUGGACCAGAGUAGAAAGGUUUUCUAGUGAGAAUCCUUUAGGAAGGCAAUAGGCUGGGCAGUGUCUAGAGCUCAGCUUGCAGUGGAAGACAGCAGGCCUUCCACCCACAUAGAGGGGUUGUCUCCAUCUGGAAGAAGUAUUUCUUUAGUUAGGGAAAGUUUCUUUUGUUUGCAGUUCCAUGGGAUCCAGUUCUCACUGCAAAGGAGGUCAUUCAACAUUGACACAUGCAGGGUUCUGGGAAGUUAGUGUGAGCUUUGUGUCAUUUCUAAACGCCAAACAAAUAAGGGCAUCACUGGCUGAUCAAAGUUCAGCCCCAGUCUAAAGCCCAGGACAUGGAGUUCUCAUGUCCAGGUUUGUGUCUGUGAGAUUAUAGCAUUUCACAGAUGGCAGCUUGGGAUUCCUAUAACAAACUUACAAGAAUUCCCUAAUUGGGAAACUGACUUCUUUCUACUCUCUUAUCUAUGGCCUUCCCUCCACAUAUACAGUUUCAUAUUUAUACCAUAAUUUAAUUCAUAUCCAGAUUAAGUGAAAUCUCAAGGAAGAUGGUGUUUAUCUACUAUCCAUGGUCAUUUUAUUUCAGUGCAGUAGAGUGUUGGGUACGUAGAUGCUACUAACGUAACUGCUCUAUGUAAUCAGUGAAACUUGUGUCUCCAUAGUGCAAGUAUAUUUAACUGUGUUUUGCAAGUUGGCUUAUUGCUUUAGCAUUUAUAUUCCUUAGUUUUCCCUUCUCAAUAUAUGCUCUUCUAGAAACUUUAGUAAGGCUAUUCAUAUAGUUGAAUAGUUUCUCUAUAAUCAAUGUUUCUUCCUGCUCCUGGGUGGGUAGGUCUUAUCUACCAUCCAUUUUCUCCAAAACAUAGUGAAUGGAUACUUAAUGCCUGUGAUAGAGUCCUGAUAUUUCCAGAAGUAUACAUUCCUGGAGUUGUCUAUAAGUGGGCAUGAGGCAUCUUUCAGCCAGCGUUGUUUACCUGAGAUGGUUCACUAUACUUGGUCAGUUGUUCAGUAUUAUAUCCCUAGAUGAAUGGUCCAUAAUUUCUCUGAUUUCAAAUUAUUAAUUAUCUCUUUUACUUGUUACUAUAUUUAUUUAUUAGGUCAUAUAUUACAUCCAGAGCACAGUUUCCCCUCCCUCCUUAACCCUCUACUUCCCCCAUCCAUCCUUCACCUUCUCCUUCCCCAUCCACUCCUCCUCAGUUCCCUUCAGAACAAGGCAGGCUUUCCAAGGAUCUCGAACAACCAUGGGAUGUUUGCAUCAUUGUUGCAAGAAGAUUAGGCAGUCCCUUCAUAUUAAGGCUGGCUGAGGCAACCCAGGGUGAGGACAUGGGUCCCCUAAGCAGGCAUAGGCAUCAGAAACAGCCCUGCUCUCUCAUUAAGAGUCCCACAAAAAAACACCAAGCUAUACAACUGUAAUGUUUAUACAUAGAGCCAAAGACAGACCCAUGCAGGAACCCUGAUUGUUAUUUCAGUCUCUACGAGACCCUAUGGCCCAGGUUUGUUGCUGUUGUGGGUUUCCUUGUGGUGUCCUUGACCCUUUUGGCUCCUAAAAUCAUUCGUCCUCCUCUUCAGCAGGAUUCCCUGAACUCUGCCUAAUGUUUGGUUAUGGGUCUCUGCAUCUGUUUACAUCAGUUGCUGUCUUGAGUUAGGUACUGACCUAUGAGGAUAGCAGAAUACCAUUAGGCGUUAGGCAUCAUUUCACUGACUUCUUUUCUCUAGCUGUGUUUGGCUCUAUCCUAGGUCUCUGGGCAAUCCAGCCUCUGGUUUUUGAGCUUACAGUAAAAGUGAGGGAUGAGCUCCCUUUGGUGACAUGGGUCUCAGGCUGAACCUGUGAGUAGUUAGCCCCUUCCAGAACUUCUGUGCUGCCUUUACCCCAGCACAUCAUGCUGGCAGGACACAUUGUACGACGAAGGUUUAGGGGCUGGGUUGAUAUUCCAGUCUCUUUACUGGAAGUCUUGCCUGGUUAUAGGAGAAGGUCAGUUCAGGCUAGAUAA
rnacentral:lncRNA from 1 species